rnacentral:rRNA from 1 species
UACGUAGGGUGCGAGCGUUGUCCGGAAUUACUGGGCGUAAAGAGCUUGUAGGCGGUCUGUCGCGUCGAUCGUGAAAACUUGGGGCUUAACCCUGAGCUUGCGGUCGAUACGGGCAUGACUGGAGUUCGGCAGGGGAGACUGGAAUUCCUGGUGUAGCGGUGAAAUGCGCAGAUAUCAGGAGGAACACCGGUGGCGAAGGCGGGUCUCUGGGCCGAUACUGACGCUGAGGAGCGAAAGCGUGGGGAGCGAACAGG